GCGCCAGCUGCUCUGGCUGCCAGGUAUUUGACAAAUUGUUUAAUACCAGGAAUUCAUAGGACUGCAUUUUAAUAGAAUAUUUUGCAGUACCAAAGUCCUGCUGAGGAUCAUUUCCAGAGGCAGCUGUGGUUCGCAUCACCUUUCUACGGUUUUCUAUGAUGGUUUUUUCCUCAAACCCCUACGUUGCUGUUGACACCAGGUCUUGAACACAAACACUGCAGAACCAGAGAAGAAAACAAGAUUCAUGGGAUUCGGUGCACAGAAAUUUAAGAGCCCAGCAACCCCUCACUAAAUUAUCCAUUCAUUAUUCCAGGUCCAGAGCAACGAAGCCAAGCUGGAACCUCUGAAACCGUGAACCAAACCAGGAUUUCUUCAUUUCAUAUUGAAUUUCUUAAAUACUUUGUCUUAAAAAACUAAUGGACACACUCAACCACUCUAUUAAAAAUCCAUUUCCAA